UACAGAGGUCUCAAGCGUUGUUCGGAUUCAUUGGGCGUAAAGGGUGCGUAGGCGGCGCGGUAAGUCGGGUGUGAAAUCUUGGAGCUUAACUCCGAAACUGCAUUCGAUACUGCCGUGCUUGAGGACUGGAGAGGAGACUGGAAUUUACGGUGUAGCGGUGAAAUGCGUAGAUAUCGGUAGGAACACCAGUGGCGAAGGCGGUCUCCUGGGGCAUUCUUGACGCUGAGGCGCGAAAGCUGGGGGAGCAAACGGG
rnacentral:rRNA from 1 species